rnacentral:rRNA from 1 species
UAUCAAUAAGCGGAGGAAAAGAAACCAACAGGGAUUGCCCCAGUAACGGCGAGUGAAGCGGCAACAGCUCAAAUUUGAAAUCUGGCCCCCAGGGCCCGAGUUGUAAUUUGCAGAGGAUGCUUUUGGCGCGGUGCCUUCCGAGUUCCCUGGAACGGGACGCCAUAGAGGGUGAGAGCCCCGUCUGGUCGGACGCCUAGCCUGUGUAAAGCUCCUUCGACGAGUCGAGUAGUUUGGGAAUGCUGCUCUAAAUGGGAGGUAUAUUUCUUCUAAAGCUAAAUACCGGCCAGAGACCGAUAGCGCACAAGUAGAGUGAUCGAAAGAUGAAAAGCACUUUGAAAAGAGGGUUAAAUAGUACGUGAAAUUGUUGAAAGGGAAGCGCUUGUGACCAGACUUGGGCCCGGUGGAUCAUCCAGCGUUCUCGCUGGUGCACUCCGCCGGGUUCAGGCCAGCAUCAGUUCGCCGCGGGGGAAAAAGGCUUCGGGAACGUGGCUCCUACGGGAGUGUUAUAGCCCGUUGCAUAAUACCCUGGGGCGGACUGAGGUUCGCGCUCCGCAAGGAUGCUGGCGUAAUGGUCAUCAGCGACCCGUCUUGAAACACGGACCAAGGAGUCGUCUUCGUAUGCGAGUGUUCGGGUGUAAAACCCCUACGCGUAAUGAAAGUGAACGCAGGUGAGAGCUUCGGCGCAUCAUCGACCGAUCCUGAUGUUCUCGGAUGGAUUUGAGUAAGAGCAUACGGGGCCGGACCCGAAAGAAGGUGAACUAUGCCUGUAUAGGGUGAAGCCAGAGGAAACUCUGGUGGAGGCUCGCAGCGGUUCUGACGUGCAAAUCGAUCGUCAAAUAUGGGCAUGGGGGCGAAAGACUAAUCGAACCUUCUAGUAGCUGGUUUC